rnacentral:tRNA from 1 species
UUGAGAGUGGCUCAGAGAUUAAGAGCACUGGCUGCUCAUCCAGAGGACCUGGGUUCAAUUCCCAGUACCCACA